AAAAAAAAGGGAAAAUACAUAUUCUCCACCAGCAAGGUCCAUUACUGUGCAGCUAUCUCCAUGGCGCCCUCGCCAUUUUCACUGAGUUGUCCUGCUUCUACUUCUUCUCCUUCUUCCAUAAUCUUCUCUUCUUCAUCCUCUUCUCCAUCUCUGUACAUUCUCCUUCUCCCCUACCAGAACCGGUCAGCAAAAACUUCGAAUUUGCCUAAAUUAAGGAUUUCCUGCUCUCGCCAAACACUUCAAUUCGACACUGAAUCCGACAACCCGCCAAUCAAAGCACCCGUCCAUACCAUCAGGAAGAAGAGGAAGCCCAAACCCAGCUUCCUCCGGCAGAUUCAAGACAAAUGGUCUCUGAAGCUCGACUCCAAUAGGGAAAAUUUCCCAUGGCAACAGCGCGAAGAAGGAGAAGAGCAAGGAGAAGCGGAGCCACAGCAGGAACGGCAAGAAUCCGAACAGGUCCAGUGGAUUGAUAAACAGUCGCAAGAGGUGACUACCGAUUCCAAAGAUGGGUAUAAUUCGGCUCCUUGGGUUGUUAGGCAUAAACCCAAGUUUGGUUCUGCGGGUGAUAGUUGUCAAAAUUCUGAAACAGAAGGUGAAGAGUUCAAUGGGUUCGUUGAGCUUUUGGGACACAGUGAUGUUGAAGAAGCAGGUAAUGCAGGGGAUGAAAUUAGUUACGGUGAGAAGUUCGCGAGGAUUAGGAUAGAUGAUGAUGAAGAUGACGAUGUUCGCUUGUCAAAUUCAGUAGAAAAGAAGAGUUUUGAUUUUGGAAGAGGAAAUGAUGCGACUUUGAAUGGAAAUGCUGAGGAGAAAGGGAAGGAUUUUGGUGGGGUGAGUAAUGAUUAUGCGGGUGGUGGUUCUGUUGAGUUGCCAUGGCGCAGCGAAGGAGAUGGAAGAAAGAAGAGGAGCAACACUGAGUUAGCGGAGCGGAUAAUUCCCGAGCAUGAGCUUAAGAGGCUCCGGAAUGUGGCUCUUCGAAUGCUUGAGAGGACCAAAGUUGGUGAUGCUGGAAUCACGGAGGCCCUGGUGGCAUCGAUUCACGAGAAGUGGAAAGUGGACGAAGUUGUGAAGCUCAAGUUUGAAGGUCCUCAGUCGAUGAACAUGAAAAUGACUCAAGAGAUUUUAGAGAGUCGAACUGGUGGAUUGGUUAUAUGGAGAUCUGGAAGUUCAAUAGUUCUCUACAGGGGAAUGUCCUACAAGCUCCCUUGUGUACAAUUAUUCAAUGAACAAACUCAGGCUACUAGUGCCAGAGAAACAAGCUCAUUUAAAGCGGAGGCCCCUUACUUGCCUGACUUUGCAAAGCAUCCCAAGGAUCUAUCUGAUAAAGAACUCAUGGACAUUGAUAAUUUAUUGGAUGAAUUGGGCCCACGGUUCAAGGACUGGUCGGGCCGCGAACCCGUGCCCGUGGAUGCUGACCUGCUUCCUUCAGUGGUCCCUGAUUAUAAGACCCCCUUCAGGCUCCUGCCUCAUGGGGUCAGGCCUUGCUUGAGGAACAAGGAGAUGACGAAUUUCCGUCAGCUUGCAAGAACAAUUCCUCCACAUUUUGCCUUGGGUAGGAACAGGAAACUGCAGGGUCUUGCCCAGGCAAUGGUAAGAUUGUGGGAAAGGAGUGCUAUUGCUAAAAUAGCCAUUAAACGAGGAGUACUAAAUACGUGUAAUGAUAGAAUGGCUGAAGAGCUCAAGAAUUUGACAGGAGGAACUCUGCUCUCACGAAACAAGGAUUUUAUCGUCUUCUACAGAGGCAAUGAUUUUCUGCCUCCUGCUGUCAAGGAGGCUCUGGAAGCGAGGCUAAAGCUGACAAAUCACCAGCAAAACGAGGAAGAGCAAAUGCGCCAAUUGGCAUCAAGUUCUAUUAGUUCGAGCUUCAACGAUUCUAAAUGCUCCCUAGUCGCAGGUACUCUUGCAGAAACGCUUGCGGCAACCUCUCGUUGGGGCAUUGAACCGAGCUCGGAAGAUGUUGAACAGAUGAUAAGAGAUUCAUCACUUAACAGACAUGAAUUACUUGUGAGAUCUCUCGAGAAAAAACUUGCUUUGGCAAAGAGAAAAGUUAGGAAGGCUGAGCGCAGUCUAGCGAAACUGCAGGAGAAUUUAGAUCCAUCUGACCUCCCUUCAGAUCUCGAGACUGUGAGCGAUGAGGAGAGGUUUUUGUUUCGCAAGAUGGGCCUAAGCAUGAAGCCCUACCUUCUCCUUGGGAGACGAGGGAUUUUUGAUGGGACUGUGGAAAACAUGCACUUACACUGGAAGCAUCGGGAGUUGGUUAAACUAAUUGUGAGAGGGAGAAGCUUUCUGCAAGUAAAGCAUCUCGCAAUAUCUUUGGAGGCGGAGAGUGGUGGAGUACUUGUAUCUGUAGAUAAAACCCCCAAAGGAUAUGCUAUAAUUGUCUACCGUGGCAAAAACUAUCAGAGACCCAACACAGUGAGGCCCAGAAACUUGUUGACUCGAAGGCAAGCUCUAGCUCGGUCCAUUGAACUUCAGAGACGCGAGGCACUUAAGCAUCAUAUCUUAGAUUUGCAAGAGAGAAUUGAAUUGCUCAAGUCCGAGCUAGAGGGUAAGAAGAACGGUGAGAAAAAGGACGAACGGAACAACUAUAGUCAUUACAAUGCCUCCACUGAAAGUGAUGUUGAGGAAACGGUAUCUCUCAUCGUCUUUGAUGAAGAGGAGGCAGAUGCGUAUCUUGAAGUCUAUGAUAGUGAAAAUGAGGAUGCCAGCGAUCAGAACGAAUAGCGCAUUGUUAAACAAUUUCAACGAGGAUAAUUCACUGGACCAAUUAGAGCUCUACAUAAUUAGCUCUGGAUCAAAUCUUAGAGAAGGCAAAUCAUACCGCCUGCAUGUGAAGAAGAGGGUGAAAGUUGUGCGCUUUUGUGUGAUUUACAUGGACUGGAAAUUGAGAUUAAGUCGACUCAAUAGCUUCUGAAACAAUGGCCAGGAGCGUCUUCUGAGAUCUCAAUCUCAAAGUAGUGCAUGUCCUACUUGUGUCAAAGCGUACGAUUUCAGGACCUCGAGCCCCCGAUGAAUGAGCUUGAGGGAAAAGCUUCGGUCCUUCCCUCCCAACCAUUGUGCUGACCCAGCUGGCUCCAUUGUGACCGAGGGUGUGACCAAGGUGGUGGCUUUGCUGUUUUUGGGUGCAAUGGACCAGAAAGCAUGGCAUCACCGAGUAACACGCUCAAGCUCAGACUCUGGCUAAAAAUGUGUGAUCUCGUGCUUGGCUCGGUACUAAGCAAAUAAUUCUAACUUAUUUUGCUGUUAAUUUUUGUACUAAAAGUCAUUCAAGGAAAAAAAAAAGGAUUAGAAUU